rnacentral:tRNA from 1 species
GCCGCAGUAGCUCAGUUGGUAGAGCGGUGCAUUCGUAAUGCAUAGGUCGGGGGUUCAAUUCCCUCCUGCGGCA